UUGAAUUCAGCCAAUUGAGUUAUUAUAGAGGAUAAUGUUUUCAUGUGGUUCAAAUGCAUUCAUUUAAUUAAAUUAGUUAUUGAGUUGAAUUGAAACCCCUUUUUGGCAUUACAGAUUUGUUUUGAUCAAUAGUAAUUUGAAAGCCAUCAAAAGAAUCUCCAAAUAAUUCAUGUAAAUGAGGCAACAACACAAGA